rnacentral:hammerhead_ribozyme from 1 species
AUCCAGAUAAUGAGUCCCAUAUAGGACGAAACGUGUUUCCUGGAU